rnacentral:rRNA from 1 species
GUCAGGUAGUAAGGGCGCAGGGCGGAUGCCUUGGCUCUGGGAAGCGAAGAAGGACGUGGCCAGCUGCGAUAAGCCUCGGGGAAGAGCAAACAUCUUUUGAUCCGGGGAUUUCCGAAUGGGGUAACCCGCAUGGCUGUUGAGGCCAUGCACUGUUGAGUGAAUACAUAGCUCAUCAGGGCGAACUUGGGGAACUGAAACAUCUCAGUACCCAAAGGAAUAGAAAUCAACCGAGAUUCUGCUAGUAGCGGCGAGCGAACGCGGAAGAGCCCAAACCACCGGGUACGCCCGGUGGGGUUGUAGGGCCGCCAACAAAGGAUAAUUGGAGGAUUAGCUGAAGUGUCUGGGAAGGCACGGCAUAGAGGGUUAGACCCCCGUAAGCGAAAGUCUGAAGAUGUCCGAGGCGGUACCUGAGUAGGACGGGACACGAGAAAUCCUGUUUGAAUCUGGGGGGACCACCCUCCAAGGCUAAAUAUUACCCAGAGACCGAUAGUGUACCAGUACCGUGAGGGAAAGGUGAAAAGAACCUCGAACAGAGGAGUGAAAUAGUUCCUGAAACCCUGCGUCUACAAGCAGUGGAAGCAAUGCUGAUCUUCGGAUCACGUGCGACCGCGUGCCUUUUGCAUAAUGAGCCAACGAGUUGUCUGUCGGUGGCAGGUUAAGUUUAUAACGAAGCCACAGCGAAAGCGAGUUCGAAAUGAGCGUUCAGUCCCCGGCAACAGACCCGAAACCGAGUGAUCUACCCCUGUCCAGGUUGAAGCCUGGGUAAGACCAGGUGGAAGACCGAACCGUUGAGCCUUAAAACGUUCUCGGAUGAGGUGGGGGUAGGAGUGAAAGGCUAAUCAAACUCGGAGAUAGCUGGUUCUCCCCGAAAUAUAUUGAGGUAUAGCCUCGUGAUAGACCGCCGGAGGUAGAGCACUGGAUGGACUAGGGCCCUCACCAGGGUACCAAACCCAACCAAACUACGAAUACCGGUGAGUUGUUUCACGGGAGUCAGACAGCGGGAGCUAACUUUCGUUGUCGAAAGGGAAACAACCCAGACCAUCAGCUAAGGCCCCCAAGUCAUGACUAAGUGGGAAAGGAAGUGGGAGCGCCCAGACAACCAGGAGGUUGGCUUAGAAGCAGCCACCCUUUAAAGAAAGCGUAACAGCUCACUGGUCGAGCGAGCCUGCACCGAAAAUUUAACGGGGCUCAAGUCAUGCGCCGAAGCUAUGGGAUUUAUAUUUAUAUAAAUCGGUAGGGGAGCGUUCCCUGUGCAGUGAAGCUGAAUCGAAAGGGUCAGUGGAGCGCAGGGAAGUGAGGAUGUUGGCAUAAGUAACGAAAAUGUGGGCGAGAAACCCACACGCCGAAAGCCCAAGGUUUCCCGGGCCAUGUUAUUCAGCCCGGGGUUAGUCGGCACCUAAGACGAGGCCGAAAGGCGUAGUCGACGGAAAACCGGUUCAUAUUCCGGUACUUGCAUGUGCGCGUGAUGGAGGGACGCAGGAGGAUAGGCCGGCCUGGUGAUGGAUAUCCAGGUUCAAGGCCGUAGGCGGAAGUCCCAGGUAAAUCCGGGACUUUAUCUAACGCCGAGAGUCGAUGACGAGAGGCUUUGCUUCGCAAAGCGGUCGAUUCCACACUGCCAAGAAAAGCUUCUAAGCAUAGCAGAUGCAAACCGUACCCCAAACCGACACAGGUGGGCGGGUAGAGAAUACCAAGGCGCUUGAGGGAAAUCAUGUUAAGGAACUCUGCAAAAUAACUCCGUAACUUCGGAAGAAGGAGUGCCUGCAGCGGUGAAGGGACUUGCUCCUGGAGCUUAAGCGGGCCGCAGUGACCAGGCCCAGCCGACUGUUUAGCAAAAACACAGCACUCUGCUAAAUCGCAAGAUGAUGUAUAGGGUGUGACGCCUGCCCGGUGCCGGAAGGUUAAUGGGAGGGGUUAGGUCUUCGGACCGAAGCUCCGAACUGAAGCCCCGGUAAACGGCGGCCGUAACUAUAACGGUCCUAAGGUAGCGAAAUUCCUUGUCGGGU